CAACCACAAACUUUUUUUCUUCUGGUGUUCAGUUCAGAUGAGAUCUUUGCCAGUAAUCUCUCAGACAACUCCUCAGUGGUUUUCAGUGAUCGGGCUACUAAAACAAAAAAUGAGAUUGAGCCCUUCUAUCGCAAAGCCUUUAAAAGUUUCAUUCAGCUUUUUGUGUUGAAAUUCACACGUGGUUCCAUCAUCACAGACUGCAGAAUGGAGUUUAGACUUACUGGUAACGAGACUGCACCCAAUGCUAAUUCAGUGAAAGAUGUUCUGGUGGCUGCAGUCAACAGCGGGAAUCUAAGUAUCAGGGUCAAUGCCAGCUCCAUCACUGUCAGCGUGACUCCAACCGCUGCCCCAACAACAACCACAGGUGCCAACAGUACAACCACAGCUGCCAACACA